ACUUAAUGAUGUGGGCAUUUAUGCAGAAGGUCUUUAAAAUGCUCCCAAAUCUCAAAAAAUUUCUCACCAUCUAUUUGGGAGAAACUAGUAAUGGCCUUCUUAAGCU